rnacentral:rRNA from 1 species
GCUGACGAGUGGCGGACGGGUGAGUAAGGUCUGGGAAACUGCCCGAUGCGGGGGAUAACCACUGGAAACGGUGGCUAAUACCGCAUAAUGUCGCAAGACCAAGAGGGGGACCUUAGGGCCUCUUGCCAUCGGAUGUGCCCAGAUGGGAUUAGCUAGUAGGUGGGGUAAAGGCUCACCUAGGCGACGAUCUCUAGCUGGUCUGAGAGGAUGACCAGCCACACUGGAACUGAGACACGGUCCAG